UACGAAGGGGCUAGCGUUGCUCGGAAUCACUGGGCGUAAAGCGCACGUAGGCGGACUCUUAAGUCGGUGGUGAAAUCCUGGAGCUCAACUCCAGAACUGCCUUCGAUACUGGGAGUCUCGAGUCCGGGAGAGGUGAGUGGAACUGCGAGUGUAGAGGUGAAAUUCGUAGAUAUCGCAAGAACACCAGUGGCGAAGGCGGCUCACUGGCCGGUACUGACGCUGAGGUGCGAAGCGUGGGAGCAAACAGG
rnacentral:rRNA from 1 species